rnacentral:rRNA from 1 species
UACGGAGGGCGCAAGCGGUGUUCGGAAUCAUUGGGCGUAAAGCGCGUGUAGGCGGUCUGGUCAGUCGGGUGUGAAAUACCGGAGCUCAACUCCGGAUCUGCAUUCGAUACUGCCAGGCUAGAGUCCCGGAGAGGGUGGUGGAAUUCCCGGUGUAGAGGUGAAAUUCGUAGGUAUCGGGAGGAACACCAGCGGCGAAGGCGGCCACCUGGACGGUGACUGACGCUGAGACGCGAAAGCGUGGGGAGCAUACAGG